GACGAACGCUGGCGGCGUGCUUAACACAUGCAAGUCGAACGAAGAGCGAUGGAAGCUUGCUUCUAUCAAUCUUAGUGGCGAACGGGUGAGUAACGCGUAAUCAACCUGCCCUUCAGAGGGGGACAACAGUUGGAAACGACUGCUAAUACCGCAUACGAUCUAAACUCGGCAUCGAGGAUAGAUGAAAGGUGGCCUCUACAUGUAAGCUAUCACUGAAGGAGGGGAUUGCGUCUGAUUAGCUAGUUGGAGGGGUAACGGCCCACCAAGGCGAUGAUCAGUAGCCGGUCUGAGAGGAUGAACGGCCACAUUGGGACUGAGACACGGCCCAGACUCCUACGGGAGGCAGCAGUGGGGAAUCUUCCGCAAUGGACGAAAGUCUGACGGAGCAACGCCGCGGGAGUGAUGACGGCCUUCGGGUUGUAAAGCUCUGUUAAUCGGGACGAAAGGCCUUCUUGCGAAUAGUGAGAAGGAUUGACGGUACCGGAAUAGAAAGCCACGGCUAACUACGUG
rnacentral:rRNA from 1 species